rnacentral:tRNA from 10 species
GAGAGCUACACACCUGGCCACUCUAUAGGCACCAGCAAUACUUCUCCGAGGAGUGUGCUUCCCAUUCAGCAAUGAUUGUGAGUUUCCUGAGGCCUCCCCAGCCAAGUGGAACUGUGAGUCCAUUAAACCUCUUUUCUAAGUUACUUAUAUAUAAGUGUGAAAAUGGACUAAUACAGCUGUCUUUUAAAAACUACAAACAUAGGAACUCAAAUGCUUUCAACCUAAUUCACCAAAGGCAAUGUAAUCACCUGGUAGACCAUGCCUUUAAUUCAGUUGUCCUUCCACUGUUCAAAACAUCCUUGGAACUCAUUUUUUAAAAAUUAUCUUCAGAGAAUGUAGCAUCUUCUGGAUAUCCUGAAUGCAUGAAGUUUUCAAACUUUUAGUGUAAGUAUGAUUUUUGAAAGCAGUUAAAGACCGUGAUGCUAGUGUAGUAAAUGUGGUCAGGUCUAAAGCUAAAUACAAUUUGUUCAUAGUGUUAAAGGAAGUGCAAUCAUAAAGUCAAGGGAUAUUUUUGGAAGUGAUUAUAAAAAUGGCUCUGAAUGGAGCUAGAUUUUACUGAUGGCAGCAUCCUCAGGGAUAACUGAAUGGCUUCCCAAAGUAAACUUUUGAGGGGGCCAAAAAUUUAACUCUGUUACUUUACUCUGUAGUUGUCAUGCAUUUUAUGAGAUGCUGACACUUACCCUUUCCAUAAUAGAUACUGGUAAAAUAGCCUCUUCCCAGCUGCAACCUCUACCACCACCAAGUUUACAGUAUGCAUAGAAAUGGUAUGGGGUUGCUGAAGAAAGAAAGGAAACAAAUUCAUGCUCAAGUAGAGCAACUUCUUACACCUCUAGCAGAGAAAUGAUAAGGCUUCUGAGACCAUCAUGAGGAAGGGAUGGAGCCCAGAAAUGUCUUUCUACAGUGCACCCUAGUUCCACCCACUGGACCCCCGCAGUGGAUCAGCAUACUCCUCAGAGAGCUAUUGCUGGUGCCCAUCUGGCAUGCUGAUUAAAAAGCAAUACGUACGCCAUGAUGUCUUUGGAACCAUUGUCUGAUGUGGAGGGGAACUGUGUCAAUAAAUCAUGAUAACAGUUAAUUCAAGUAAUAAAUACUUUUAUGGUUGAAUAUUAUAUUAUUUGUUUUUAAGUCUGGCUGAUAUCUAUUAUAAUGAGAUUUUCCUUUACUAUUCCAUUUCAUUAUAAUUGACAGUAUUUGUGUGAAAUAUUGAGGGAGCUCUGAUAGCCACAUUCAAAAAUAUAGUCAAGGUCUGUCAUGGGGCAUCCCAUCUAAGACAGAGCCCUCGGGGACAAGCCACAAGGGCGCAUACUGAAACAGAACCCUGGGGAACGCCUGAGCUAAUAUCAAAUCAUAAGACAAGAAGCAAACUUAUGUUCAAUAAAAUUUGAUGGGGGCAUCUUGAGAGACAAUGGUAAGGUCUUGAGGUUGCUGUUUAAACAGUAUGGAAAUGGAUAAGAAAUCACUGCCUCAGAUUUGGUUGGUAGCCAAUAAAGGCUUAGGGAUUAGCAAAAAGUUAGAAACUAUUGAAAAUAAUGAAAAGAUAGGAUCUAGCCUUCACCAUCUCUAUACAAAAUAAAUUAAUUUAAAUUAGUACAAUCCUAGGAGGUCCUUCCCAUCAACUACGAUCAUGAGCAAGCAAAUAGUUAAAAUGGAACCAUGUGUUGUUUCACGUAAAGAAAAAGGCUUGAGUUUUUGGUAACAGUUCUACCUGUAAAAUAGUAAAGCUGUAGAUACCUAUAGCAUUGAUGAUGGCAGGGGGGAGAUGAUAUUAUGUCAGUGACAGCGAGCCAAGCCCCAUCUAAAAGAAAGGUAAGCUGGGAGUUUUACUUAAAAAGCCUACCUAAAUUGACAGCUCUCACAGAAUGCACUGGAAUUUGGGGGUAAAGAUAGAAUCUUCCCUCAGGUUUGAAAAACAAGCUCUUAUUCACAUUUUCUAUUUUCCCAUUGACAUGAAAAUUGCCUAAGAAAAGUAGACGAGAUCCCAGGGGCACACUGCUUUUCAACUUGAAUCUUUGCCUUCCCUUUUCAUUUUUUACUUACAGUGAGUACAUGCAUGUAUGCAUGCACAUGUGUAUGUGUGUGUACACGUUUGUGGGGGCGGGGAGGUUGUCCAUGGAGAUUUUCUCUUAAAGGAAAGCCUAUUUCCCUCAGCGGUAGGAAAAUUGAAGCCUGCACCCUCCUAAUACAAGACCUACUCUUUUCUUUAAAACAUAGAAGACUUAUCUUUUGAAAUGGGGUAGCCGCUUAAGGAAUAGAUAAAUUCCCUGCGAUAUUUACUCCCAGAAAGAAAAAAAUAGUAUAAAGAAUAAUUUUAAUACUUGGGUCACUGAGAUUUUGGAAUGAGCCUCAGGCUGUUUCAGAGAGAAGUCUGUGUAUUCAGGUUGCAUGGAGAGCUGUGUUUAUUUGGAAAGGCAAAUUAUAUAUGAUAUACUUGGUGUUAUUCAGUGUGCAAAAUGCUACAAAAGCCUACUGUAUGCAUACUUACUUGUUAUACCCACAUUUCAUUAAACCUCACAGACAUUGUUACCCAUAGUUCACACUCUGGACUGCCAAGGGGUUACCACCCAUUUCCUAAUAUACCAAAGAUACCCCAAAAGAGAUAUGACGGGCAGAUGUAACCCUCUUUUUCAACUACUAUGGCAUCUUUAAGCAUUUAAACUACUAUCACAUCUCUAAGUAUUUAGGGAGUGUGAUUAUUAAUGUUGUACCUCAACUUGACUGGGCCAUGGGGUGCCCAGACGUUUGAUCAGACAUUCCUCUGGGUGUUUGCCUGCCAGGGUAUUAUUGGAAGAAACUUGCAUUUGCAUCAGGAGACUGAGUACGGUAGAUUGCCCUCCCUAAUGUGGGUCGGCGUUGUCCAAUCAGUUGACAGCCUGGAUAGAACAAAAUGGCACAGUAAGAGAGAGCUCCUCCUGUUUGACUGCUGAGUUGGGACAUCAGUCAUUUCUGAACUUCAGACUAGGACUGAAAUAUCAACUUUUGUUGGGUCUCGAGCCUGCCAGCUUUCAGACUGGACCUUACACCAGUGGCUCCCCUGUUCUCAGGCUUUCAGACCUGGACUGGAACCACAUGUGGACUCUCUUGUUCUGCCAAUUGCAGAACUUGAGGCCUCUUGGGCUCCAUAUCACAUGAGCUAAUUCCCGAUAAUAAAUAUGUGUGUGUGCAUGUGUGUAUGUGUGUGUGUGUUUGUCUUGUUGGUUCUGGUUCUCUAGAGAACCCUGACUAAUAUAGGAAGUAAGGGGUAAAACUAAGAUACAUUUCCUUAGUUAUAAAAUGAAAAAAAUAAGCUAAAUCAUAUAAUUAUUUUGAUGCUUACAUGAGAUGUUACAUUUCUUGUUAGAUACUUGUAUUAGUCUAUUCUCACAUUGCUAUAAAUAAAUACCUGAGACUGGGUAAUUCAUAAAGGAAGGAGGUUUAAUUGUCCCGCGGUUCUGCAGGCUAUACAGGAAGCAUGGUGCUGGCAUCUGCUCAGCUUCUUGGGAGGCUUCAGGAUCUUACAAUCAUGGCAGAAGACAAAGAGGAAACAGGCACAUCACAUGGCCAGAGCAGGAGCAAGAAAGAGAGAGGGAAGUGCCACACAUGUUUAAACAGCCAGAUCUCAUGAGGACUCACUGUACAGUACCAAAGAAGGAUGGUGCUAAAUCAUUUAAGAAAAUCCGCCCCCAUGAUCGAAUCACCUCUCACCAGGUCCCACCUCCAACACUGGGGAUUUAAUUGAACAUGAGAUUUGGGUGAGGACACAGAUCCAAACCAUAUCAGUACUCCACACUGUGUUAGGUGUAAAGAAAACCUAACCAGUGGUUCCCCAACCACCUUCUCCCAACACCACAUGUUCAUCACCACAAACUUUCUUUCUGUCCUUAGAUCUGCCACCCACCAAAGGAAGAGCAGUACAGUCUUCACUCAGUAUUUGCAGGGGAUUGGUUUCAGGACCCCCAAAGAUACCAAAAUCCAUUGAUGCUCAAAUCAAUGAAAUAAAAUCAUGUAGUGUUUACAUAUAACCCACUGCACAUUCUCUCGUAUACUUUAAAUCAUCUGUAGAUUAUUUAUAAUACCUAAUAAAGGUAAAUGCUAUACAAAUAUUUGUUGUGGUGUAUUUUUUUGUAUCAGUUUUCAUUGUUGUACUUUUUAUUUUUUAAUUGUUUUUCUUGAAUUUUUCAAUCUAUGGUUGUUGAAUCUACCGAUGCAUAACUGCGGAUAUGGAAGGCUGACUGUAUUAAAGAAUAUUAAGAAAUGAGAGAAAACAGGAUACCAUGAUCAGUAGGGGACAUCUUGAUGAAUGUCAGAGAGAUGCCAAAGAAAGGUUCUCUUUUCCUGAUUCUUGUUGAUUCCAUUUUUAAUAAUAAAUCACAGUAAUAUACACAAAGGCCAUUUAUACACACGUACAUAGUGUAUCAGUCUAAUACAGAAUCAUUUUCUUUCAUUGUUCCAGAGCAGUUCUGAAACAGGCUUUUCCCAGUUCAUAGCCCACAUGCAGGGUCACCAUCAAUGCUUCCCAGGAUUUGGGAGAUGCUGGUUUUCUUCUGAAGAUUUCUCAUUUUUUUUCUGAACACCCUUUCUGGUAGUCCCUGAUUGGGCCUGGGGCAAGGGUUCCAAUGAACAUCAAAGCAAUUUCAAGACCUUCUUAGUAAAUAUACGUUAUCAUCAAUACCAAUGAGCUCUUACUUACAGGAGUAUGUUCUUGUUUAAGGAUGGAGUAAGUACCUACACAGAAGGCAUAUAAGAAGAAAGCAAGGAAGAACAGAACAACUUGAAAGAACAAAAAGGAGAUGCAGAAGGUGUUUGGGGGUUGGGAGGGGUCAACUGGAAGAUUAAAUAAAUAUUCUAGCUGGGCGUGGUGGCUCACGUCUGUAAUCCCAGCACUUUGGGAGGCCGAGGCAGGCAGAUCACCUGAGGUUGGGAGCUGGAGACCAGCCUGGCCAGCAUGGUGAAACCCCAUCUCUACUAAAAAUACAGAAAUUAGCUGGGUGUGGUGGCAGGCGCCUGUAAUCUCAGCUACUCAGGAGGCUGAGGCAGGAGAAUCGCUUGAACCUGGGAGGCAGAGGUUGCAGUGAGCCAAGAUCGCACCAUUGCACUGCAGCCUAAGCAACAAGAGAAAAACUCCAUCUUAAAAAUAUAAAUAAAUAAAUAAAAUAAAUAAAUAUUCUGCUACUGUAGAUGAAGGAGUGGUUGUUAAGAUGAGCCACUGGCUUUCACAUUAUGCCUUCUCUCCUUUUUUAAAUGUUCCUAUGUCUACACAUUAACAGCCAAUUUGUAUUUUAGUGCAUUCAAUUUAAUCUCCCAACAUGAACAUCAAUCAUCAAUAUGCUACACCUCACUCUAUAACCAAAUCAACCGGGGUAAAAAAAAAAAAGUCAAUUUACUGCCAAUAAUAUAAGGAUCAGAGUCAUGGUUAAAACUCAAGAUCUGCAAAUAAGGGCUGUGACCACUACCUAAAGGACAUUCUUUAUGCACCUGUACGACAUUAGGGCUGUCAGGUGCCUCACCUGACAGGUACAGCCACACCUGUACCCAGGAAUUAAUCCGUGUCCAAGGUAUCAUUUUUCAGUGCCAGAAUUAGUUCGUCUAUAAGACUGAAUGUGUGAUGCCUACAGAUCUCUCUUACCAGAAUAGUACUUUUGUCAUUGAUACGUGAAGUAUAAAUACAAAUGUGUGGCGUGGCUGGCAUUGGUUUAUUGAUUUUGGAUGGUUCUAGCUCCUUCGGAGGUCAUUUCCUGAGUAAUCCCAUCUGGAAAAUGUAAUUUGCCAUUCACUAGUCACCACAGUUUGGAUUGCUGUAAUGACCUACUUGGGAUGAAAGAAAAGGUCUUUCCAUUUCUAUUCAAUACCUGGAUUCCUUUCAACAAUAAUAGAUACACAGCUUUAUUACCCUUUCCCAACUGGCCAGCAUCGGAGGUGACAAACACCCCAGCUGUCAGUGGUACAGACAAGAUUCUCUCCUUCCCCAGAUGAGCUAGCUCUUAUAAGCCUAAAGCCAUGUCCUCCCCUGGCUCUUAGGUCUGUCUUGGGAGAUGGCCAUCAAUGUGUCCUUCUAAAAAUACAGAAUUACUAACAGUUUGGUUUUGUGUCAUUGAUCCAUGGAGAAAGCGAUGGAAAUUAUAGGUUAGUAUUUACAUGAAUAAAAUAUUUUGAAAUAACCUGAAUAGUAUGCUUUCCCCUGUCACAUUCUUAGAGAAGUUAAUAAAGACUCAUGAAGAUAUUGCAACAAUUGAAAGCAGACUUGGGGUUUGUUUUCAAUAGCAAAAGAUAGGUAGAUGAAAAUUGGAAUUUACAACUCAAGCAGUAUUUCUGAGCCUUAGCAUGUGAUGAGAGUAUGCCACACUGAAUUGCUUAGAAGAGGCGUAAGGGGAAGAAGAGAGGGCUAACCACUGAAACAUGAGAGGUUUGUUGUUGUUGUUGUUUGUGUGCAUGUGUUUUGAAAAAUAAAUCUAAAGACUAAAAGCCAACAUUUGAGGAGGUCUCCAUUUGUUUAGAAGCAUUACCAGUUUCUGCAAUGAGAACACAUGCAUAAUUUAUGGAAGUGCCGGAAUGUCCAAAUGUUUCUAACUGUCCCUUAUAGCUGACUUUCUUAAUGUACAGGAUCUGACCUGGAAUUUGUACCAAACAUAAUCUCAUACCGGAACAGACCACACAUGUACCAAAAAAAAAACUAACUAAACAUAAAUAUUCACUCUAGGCUCACCUACGAACUGAGCACAGGUAGAUUGAUGUUAAUUUGUUCAUUUUGUUUAUUAUACCUAAUUAGACUGCUUAAUUUUCCUGUAAGCUAAAUCAGAAUCUGUGUUUUAUUUAGGCCAACCUGUCACCUGCUAAUCACUUGGCGACAUAAAUUCAGACACACAUAGCUUUGAUUUUGAAAAAGAAUCUGGGAAACUUCAUGACAUUUCAGAAGAGAAAAGCUUUCUUGAUUUCUUUGUAUAGCCAAGAAUAAUUUUAAAAGUUUGCAAGCCACAGAAUUCUAGGAGUAUAUUUUAUAUUAUCAGAAACUGAUCUUCACAUCAUAGUUCAUUAAACUGGUUGCAUAGUUUACACACAGGUAAGCCAUCUCACCUCAAGACUGGAAAAAUAUCUGCACUAAAAGUAGAAGAAAUAGAAAACUGUGAACACAUGAGUGCCUCUUGAGUUAAGAAUGCCAAAAUGUUGACAUAAACAUUCCAAAGCAGAUAGAAUCUCUACUGCUCUAUCCUUUCUGAAACCACUUUUUCUCCCAACGCUCUUUUCAAACGCCCCUCCCCACAUAAGCUCCCCACUCUAGGGGGUAACAGUCAUUCUAGGGCUUCAGUAAUCCCUGAUAGCCACAGAGAGAAUCUGCGUAUUUCAUCCACACUAACUCCUUCCUUCUCUUUCCGAAGAAUAAUGAACAAAGCAUGGUUUCCCCUUGGAUUGAAAUGUGCCCUGUACAUACAAGCUGUGAGUCCUCGGGCAGGAUGCAGAAUCUUUCUCAGCCUCAGUUUCCUUUUCUAUACAACAAAGAUGAUAUCUGCCUCAUAGGGUGAUGGUGGUGACAAAGCUAGGUAGGAUCUGCUCAAGUCCUAACACAUCCCGGGGGCUCUCUCCCGGCCCCUUUCCCAGCUAUUUCCCCUCCUCCCAGCCUCACCCGGCUCCAGGCACAUCCCGGCAGCUCUGCCGUCUUCCAGUUCAUAACUGUUCCUCAGCGUGCAUCCUCUUUCCUCUAUUUUCAUUUCUCUUCUUAAUCA